GGAAAGGCCUGCAGCUUGCUGCGGGUACUCGAGUGGCGAACGGGUGAGUAACACGUGGGUGAUCUGCCUUGCACUUCGGGAUAAGCUUGGGAAACUGGGUCUAAUACCGGAUAGGACAGCUGUUUAGUGUCAGUUGUGGAAAGUUUUUUCGGUGCAAGAUGAGCUCGCGGCCUAUCAGCUUGUUGGUGGGGUAAUGGCCUACCAAGGCGUCGACGGGUAGCCGGCCUGAGAGGGUGUACGGCCACAUUGGGACUGAGAUACGGCCCAGACUCCUACGGGAGGCAGCAGUGGGGAAUAUUGCACAAUGGGCGGAAGCCUGAUGCAGCGACGCCGCGUGGGGGAUGAAGGCCUUCGGGUUGUAAACUCCUUUCGACAGGGACGAAGCGUAAGUGACGGUACCUGUAUAAGAAGCACCGGCUAACUACGUGCCAGCAGCCGCGGUAAUACGUAGGGUGCGAGCGUUGUCCGGAAUUACUGGGCGUAAAGAGCUCGUAGGUGGUUUGUCGCGUCGUCUGUGAAAUUCCGGGGCUUAACUCCGGGCGUGCAGGCGAUACGGGCUGACUUGAGUGCUGUAGGGGAGACUGGAAUUCCUGGUGUAGCGGUGAAAUGCGCAGAUAUCAGGAGGAACACCGAUGGCGAAGGCAGGUCUCUGGGCAGUAACUGACGCUGAGGAGCGAAAGCAUGGGUAGCGAACAGGAUUAGAUACCCUGGUAGUCCAUGCCGUAAACGGUUGGGCCGUAGGUGUAGGGGGCUUCCACGUCUUCUGUGCCGUAGCUACGCAUUAA
rnacentral:rRNA from 1 species